CCCUGGCACUAGGUCUCAUUUUCCAAAUGAUCGCUCAUUUAGUAUUGAGACCCUCAGGCUAUUUCACAACCUAGUUCGAGAUGGAGUAGGUGUGGGUCCAACCUGACAUGGAGCACCAAGG
rnacentral:rRNA from 1 species